UAUCUCUGUAGAGUCUGCAUAUCAAUAAGCGGAGGAAAAGAAACUAACAAGGAUUCCCUUAGUAACGGCGAGUGAAGCGGGAAGAGCUCAAAUUUGAAAUCUUCAAGGUUCUACCUUGACGAAUUGUAGUUUAAAGAAGUGUUUUCUGUUAGAUGAGCUAGCAAAAGUUCCUUGGAAUGGGACAUCAUAGAGGGUGAGAAUCCCGUAUUUGGUUAUUCAUUCUAGCUUUGUGAUACACUUUCAAAGAGUCGGAUUGUUUGGGAAUGCAGUCCAAAAUGGGUGGUAAAUUUCAUCUAAAGCUAAAUAUUGGCGAGAGACCGAUAGCGAACAAGUACCGUGAGGGAAAGAUGAAAAGAACUUUGAAAAGAGAGUUAAACAGUACGUGAAAUCGUCAAAAGGGAAGCGUUUGACACCAGUGUUGUUUUUCCGAAAAUCAAUUACGAAUGGCUUGAUUUUGUGUUGUAUUGACCUUAUCAGGCUUUCUUCACUUUUUUCGAGUCUUUCUUAAUGCACUUUUCGGUUAACAAGUCAACAUCAAUUUCUUUUGUUGUAAAAGAGUAUUCGGAAGGUGGCUUUCUUUUCGGAGAAAGUGUUUAUAGCCCUAUACUUCUACAAUCGGAGAGAUUGAGGUCUGCAGCGUAGAUCCUUCGGGGUUAGAUACACUUGUGCUAAGUUGUAGCUUUUCAUAGACAACUUGUUGACUAUGUUUAGUCAUGCGGCUUACUCGCUUAUGCUAUUUUACCUACGCUUAGGAUGUUGACUGAUAUGUAGUCGU
rnacentral:rRNA from 1 species